UGGGGAAUAUUGCACAAUGGGGGAAACCCUGAUGCAGCGACGCCGCGUGAGCGAAGAAGGUUUUCGAAUCGUAAAGCUCUGUCCUAUGGGAAGAUAAUGACGGUACCAUAGGAGGAAGCCCCGGCUAACUACGUGCCAGCAGCCGCGGUAAUACGUAGGGGGCAAGCGUUGUCCGGAAUCACUGGGCGUAAAGGGUUCGCAGGCGGAAAUGCAAGUCAGUUGUGAAAGGCAGAGGCUCAACCUCUGUAAGCAAUUGAAACUGUAUUUCUUGAGAUGUGGAGAGGCAAGUGGAAUUCCUAGUGUAGCGGUGAAAAGCGUAGAUAUUAGGAAGAAUACCGGUGGCGAAGGCGACUUGCUGGACACAAACUGACGCUGAGGAACGAAAGCGUGGGUAGCAAACAGG
rnacentral:rRNA from 1 species